GCGGAUGUGGCGGAAUUGGUAGACGCGCACGGUUCAGGUCCGUGUGGGCUUCGGCCCGUGGAGGUUCAAGUCCUCUCAUCCGCA
rnacentral:tRNA from 1 species